rnacentral:rRNA from 1 species
CGGGGGAACUGAAACAUCUAAGUACCCCGAGGAAAAGAAAUCAACCGAGAUUCCCCCAGUAGCGGCGAGCGAACGGGGAGGAGCCCAGAGCCUGAAUCAGCAUGUGUGUUAGUGGAAGCGUCUGGAAAGGCGCGCGAUACAGGGUGACAGCCCCGUACACAAAAGCGCAUGUGCUGUGAGCUCGAUGAGUAGGGCGGGACACGUGGUAUCCUGUCUGAAUAUGGGGGGACCAUCCUCCAAGGCUAAAUACUCCUGACUGACCGAUAGUGAACCAGUACCGUGAGGGAAAGGCGAAAAGAACCCCGGCGAGGGGAGUGAAAAAGAACCUGAAACCGUGUACGUACAAGCAGUGGGAGCACAGGUUUACCUGUGUGACUGCGUACCUUUUGUAUAAUGGGUCAGCGACUUAUAUUCUGUAGCAAGGUUAACCGUAUAGGGGAGCCGUAGGGAAACCGAGUCUUAAC